GCGGCGAUGGUGACCGGCUGCGCUGGACCAGUCACCCCCCGCCUCCCAGGACCCCCCUCAGGCCAGAGGCCCCCAGCUCACAAGCCGGCCCUGAAUCAUCCCCGUUCCUGGGCCCGUCUCCACGUUCUUUCUCUGGGAAAGCAGGGCCCAGGCUUCUGCUCCCUCUUCAAUACAGCACACAUGAACACUUUGGGAGUGUCACCUUAAAAAUAAAAAACACAACGUGAGAGUUGAGAGUUAAGUUUUACUUGGGACAGAAUGAGGACUAGAACCUGGGUGGCAGCAUUCAGAGAGACCCAAGAAACUACUCCAAAAAACUGGGACCUCAGUGAGUCCGGACACCAGGCCAAGUGUGGAAAAGAAAGGAAGAAGGAAGAGAGGAGGCAUCCGUUGAUGAACCUCAGAUGCCAAGAUAAAGGAGACUUGCUUUUCGACGAGAUGACACUGGCCCUGCUGGUCGGGCUCCCGGGGAGAGGAGGUCUGAACUGCUCGGCUGCUGUCUACUGGCUGAUAAUGGGAUGAAAACAACACACAUCAAACAGUGAGCGGGGCUGUUAACAAGGUAGCCCUUCCUGGGAUCCUGGCGCCUUCAUCCAGUCAGGCCGGUGCCUUGAGCACCCACCCAAAAGUGGCGAGGGGAGUUCCUUGGGACCCUUCAAGUCCUAGCGUGUGGGUGAGAGCCCCCGGCUCCGGGAACGGCAAGCGGCAGGUAAGUCUUCCUGGAAGGCGCCGUCCCCCUCUCCGGGCUGGCUCUGCAGCCUUUCCCUCGGAGUCGCAGUCUAGGAAGCAGGCUCCUCGCUAAGUAUUUGGCAUUUGAUCCUCAGAACGGUCAUCUUGCCGGAACUCGGCCUCUGUUCGCUGGUGCUCAAUAGAAACGCGGAGACGGAGCUUUGGAUGAAGUAGAGAAGGCAGGCCUGAUUGCUUUGCCAGGAAGGGGGGGCCACAGCGGGCCAGGGCCCUCGGAACUUUUGGGGGGGCGGUGAGGAGUCUCACAGUGUCAAGGAGCAGGGCGUGGCCAGCUCGUGGGCGUUCUUCUGAUGGGUGGGUGGUGAGGUCACGGGGAGUCCGCGCCGUCACCCCUCUGGUUCCAGUUGGUCUGGGGUCUCCGUGCUUGUGGGCAGCACAUGGUUGGCUUCCUCCCCUUGGCGGGGGUAAACUGCUCCGAGGACAUGGCUCAGAAUAGUAUCUCUGGUCUUUGAGAAAGAAUGUAAGGUCCUUGACUUUGUUGAGUGGCUAAAGUAUUAUUUUGUCUUGCUGGACUGCUUUUCCUUUCGCUUUGCAUUUUCUCACGUCUCUGAUUAAGUUUGAUUUUUUGGACUAAAGUUUUUCUACAGACCAAAGGCAGGCAGAGGACCUGGGGGCGGGGGCGGGAUCUGUUCUGGGAAGGCCCCAUAGCGUCUGGCUCGGUUACCCUAAAGAGAGGUAUUUUUUCCCCAUUUGACAGUUGGGAGAAGGGAACCCCAACAGCAAAAAAGUCUCAGGAGGACUCAGGCCUCCUGAAACAGCAUGGCCCCUGCUGCCCCUGUGGCUUUUCUGAAGAUGCAGCCCAGUUGAGUCUGAUUUGCUGAUUAUUGCAGACCUCUGGGCAUGAAGCUCUGAAAUCGAGAAGCGGGUGUGGCUGGUGAUGAAGGUAAACCGCACAGUCAGCUCAGCUCAUGGAGAGUCCAGCGUCUGUUGUUGUUGCUUUCAUCCUCCGGGGAAGCCAGUUUUUAGUGCUCAAAGUUUAGUAAAACAAUUUCCUACACUCGUUUAAUCAUUUCCACUUUACAAACAAACUGAGGUUUCAGCAUACCAGGGGACUUGUCCUGGCUGAUUCUGCAGGUUACGGGGAGCCAGGACUUCUGACCCAAGUCUGGAGGGAUGCUUCUCUGGCUUGGAGGAUCAAUGAAAAAUCAAAUCUGAGUUGUUCCACUGAGGUGAUGGAGUGUGCGAUUACUACAGCCUCUUAGAUAUUUAAAAUCGUAUGUUGCAAAAGACCAGUCCUACCCAUUUGCUGGGUGAGCGGGUGUUGGUACCACAAGCCAUCCUCAUACUUAAGCACAGUGGAUUGGAACGUACGGCAAAUAAACAGCGUUUUUUCCUGGCUCAGUGAGGGUAACGGCUGCUUUUGAAGAAUUAUUGCAGGUGUUUCUAGGCGAUGAAUAAAGUUACUGAGGUCGUGCAGGUGGAGCAUCUAGGCAUGGAAUUUAGAAAUUUCAAGAACUCGAAAAUUUUCCUUCCACCCCCUCCAGCUUGCACAGUGAACGUGAUUAAGCGCUUCACGGGGUGGGACCCUGCGGAGGCCACCGAGGUGGGCGACUCGGCUCCCCUCCCAGACCCCAUGUGGUCGGGAAACUGCACUGAAGGGCUCUGGCCGCACUGCAGAGGGUCUCACGGUGUCCAGCGGGCCAGCUCCCAGGGGACCUAACGGAAAGAAGAAUGGACGGAUGAAAAUCCGAAAGUCCCCAGGCCGUCCUCUCCCCACAGCCCGUCUGGAGGCACCCCAGAGGCCGACUGACUCUUUGCCUCUAAAUAUUUCAUCUGUGUGGCAACGGGACAGACUCAGGUGAGAAAACUGGAGUCAGUGUCACAGGGCCAACUUGGGCAGCCCUUUGGCGAGGCCACCUGCUUGAGCAGCUGGACGAUGGUAGUUAGGGAGGUCAGACGCCUCAUCUAAGCCCUGGCUUGGCCGCUUAUGGUCUGCCCUCCGUUGUGUUGCUUUAUCAACCUGGACCUCAGUUUGCUCAUCUUUAAAAUGGGGAUACAGGAGUCCCUGGUGGCUUAGUGGUGCAUGGCUUGACUUUUGUCACUGCUGUGGCUCUGGUUGCAUCCCUGGCUGUGGAGUUUCUGCAUGCCACAGGAACUGAAAAUCAAAUAGCGAGCCAAGUGUGGCAGAAUUCCACUUUCCUUGUCCACAUGAUGCAUAGAUAAUAGUUGUCUUACUUUCUAUCAUAGGAUGAUGCUGAGGGGCCAGGAAAAAAAAAAAAAAAAAGAUAACUGUGAUUUAAAGAAAAAGAGGAUUCCUUUAAAAUAAUAAAGAAAUAUUUGUCGUGAUCACGUUUCUCAGUAUCCUCUCGAUCGCCCUGGACUUUAUAGACUUCCCGAGGAGGAGACUGCAGGAGGAAGCUGGAUCAGACGUCACUGGACCCUUGUCCCGUGACCUGUCACCCUCCCAGCCACCCUCAGCCUGUGAACCAAGGUGAACUAUGACCUCGGCAUGUACACAGCCAGGUGUCAAGGCUGAGAGCCGCCAGUGUAUGUGGACAGGGAGAUGAGCUCAUUACAACAGAAGAGGUCCUACUAUUUAGCCCUCAUUCCUAUACUGGAGACUUGAGCUGCCAUUUAUCCUUCAGGGAUACAGGACACUCGGCGUUAUACGCCCACGAGAGCCUUGGGGAAGUGUUGACUCAAUCGCCUCUCUGAGUAAUGAGCUCCCUGCCUUUGCCUGAAGGGUCCCCAUUGGUGCAGGCUGCCUGUUGUCCCUGGCAGACAGGACGAGGUGGGCCAAGCAAGCCAAUUAAUAUUCCGCCAAAUCCUUGUUCGGUGUGGUGUGUUUAUCAUAUUGGUCUACCCUUCCGAAGCCAAGAGCAAAUUAAGUGAGCACUGGCUCAUGUUACCUUGAAAAUGCCGUACAGAUAAAAAUCCAGUUGUUACCUUCUGAGUAGUUGGAAGAUUAAUUGGAAAUGCUAUCCAUUCGGCGUUCAGUUUCCUGUGUCCAACUGAUGUUUGCGGGAAAUUGCAGCCUCUGUCCAGCGUGGCAGUGUUUAUCGGGUGUCUCCGUUUUCGAAAACGACCUCAUUAACAAUUUUGCUGGUGCUUUUUUCUCCUUCUAAAAAUAGUGUCGACAAAUUGGCACCAACUCCUGAAUAUCUGCUUCCAUCCUGUUUCAGCAGCCAACUCAUGGAUUGCCAGUUUAUGACGUGCCCAUCUCAACAUAAAAACGCCUCUUCUGCCAGAUGCAAGAGGGAUCAACCUACAGCUCGAAGCAGGACAAGAGUUCUUGAGGUGCUGAGCCCUGUAAAAGUGCAAGCCCAUGUUCUAGGCAGAAAAACUGAGAGUUUUGCGUAGUUUGGUUUUUGUUUUUUUACCUUCCCUCCGCCAUAUUUUCUUUCAAGGACUUUGUUUUUGUUUUGGCCACACCCGGGGUGUGUGGAAAUUCCCCGGGCCAGGUAUCAAACACACACCCCAGCAGUGACAACACCAGAUCCUUAACCCACUGAGCCACGGGGGGAAUCCUUCUUUCAAGGACUUGGAAAAUUGGCUGUCUUCAUGUUCAACGCUGGAGCCACCGGAGACUUGGGUCCCAGAGAAGUCAGGGCAGGAGGUAGCUUCCGGCUCCACCGUCCACAGCAUCCCAGUGACGAGGAGGAGGGCAUGGGGGCAAAGGAGGCUUUCACAUCCCGCUGGGACGGGCCCGGCGCCCAGCCCGGUGCCCCCAUCGGCCGGCUCUGCUCUCAAGGCACAGAAUGCACCUGCCCCUUCUGCAGAGACCAUGGCCAGGGAACUGAAGACACCAUUGGGAGAAGCCCACGCUCUUCGGCUCCCCAUUUAUUGAAGAAGUUUGUCAGUGAGGGAUACUUGGCCCAUUGUCCCAUUUCUGCUGCCAUUCCUGUUUUUGUGUUUCUUUCGCACUUGCUGGAAGUUGCCCAGCCCUGGCACCCACGGCUGCAGGCUGCUCUUUGUGGGUCUCCAUGCUGCUCCCUUGCACCCUCGCAUGUGCAUACUCACACCCUCCCACAUCUGCACACACACCCCUGCUCUCUCUGGCUAAUUGCUUCUUCUCUCUCAAAGUCACAACUCAGGGUGAAGGACUGACUCAGCCACCCGUCUACACUGAAGGCUGUUCCCGUACUUAGAGGAUAUUUCUUAGCUAAAGCGAUGGAUACAGAUGGGCAAAGCUGCAGGCAGGACCCCAUGGCCUGAGAAGUCACAGGGCCCCGGGAGAGAAGGCGCACAGGUGGGUGGGCGUGGUGCCGUGGCUUUCAAGGAUUUUGGUUGAUCUGGGAUAACCAGGCAUGGACAUCACUGCAAAGCCAGUCCAGCAGAGAGAUCGGAGGGCCACUUAGAGACCCAGACUGGUUCCACCACUGAGUU
rnacentral:lncRNA from 1 species